GAUGAAGAACGCAGCGAAAUGCGAUAAGUAAUGUGAAUUGCAGAAUUCAGUGAAUCAUCGAAUCUUUGAACGCACAUUGCGCCCCCUGGUAUUCCGGGGGGCAUGCCUGUCCGAGCGUCAUUACAACCCUCAAGCUCAGCUUGGUGUUGGGCCCCGCCGCCCCGGCGGGCCCUAAAGUCAGUGGCGGUGCCGUCCGGCUCCGAGCGUAGUAAUUCUUCUCGCUCUGGAGGUCCGGUCGUGUGCUCGCCAGCAACCCCCAAUUUUUUUCACGUUGACCUCGGAUCAGGUAGGGAUACCCGCUGAACUUAAGCAUAUCAAUAAGCGGAGGA
rnacentral:misc_RNA from 1 species